UAGGGAAUCUUCCGCAAUGGGCGAAAGCCUGACGGAGCAACGCCGCGUGAGUGAUGAAGGUCUUCGGAUCGUAAAACUCUGUUAUUAGGGAAGAACAAAUGUGUAAGUAACUAUGCACGUCUUGACGGUACCUAAUCAGAAAGCCACGGCUAACUACGUGCCAGCAGCCGCGGUAAUACGUAGGUGGCAAGCGUUAUCCGGAAUUAUUGGGCGUAAAGCGCGCGUAGGCGGUUUUUUAAGUCUGAUGUGAAAGCCCACGGCUCAACCGUGGAGGGUCAUUGGAAACUGGAAAACUUGAGUGCAGAAGAGGAAAGUGGAAUUCCAUGUGUAGCGGCGAAAUGCGCAGAGAUAUGGAGGAACACCAGUGGCGAAGGCGACUUUCUGGUCUGUAACUGACGCUGAUGUGCGAAAGCGUGGGGAUCAAACAGG
rnacentral:rRNA from 1 species